AAAUUGAAGAGUUUGAUCAUGGCUCAGAUUGAACGCUGGCGGCAGGCCUAACACAUGCAAGUCGAACGGUAACAGGAAGCAGCUUGCUGCUUUGCUGACGAGUGGCGGACGGGUGAGUAAUGUCUGGGAAACUGCCUGAUGGAGGGGGAUAACUACUGGAAACGGUGGCUAAUACCGCAUAACGUCGCAAGACCAAAGAGGGGGACCUUCGGGCCUCUUGCCAUCAGAUGUGCCCAGAUGGGAUUAGCUAGUUGGUGAGGUAACGGCUCACCAAGGCGACGAUCCCUAGCUGGUCUGAGAGGAUGACCAGCCACACUGGAACUGAGACACGGUCCAGACUCCUACGGGAGGCAGCAGUGGGGAAUAUUGCACAAUGGGCGCAAGCCUGAUGCAGCCAUGCCGCGUGUAUGAAGAAGGCCUUCGGGUUGUAAAGUACUUUCAGCGGGGAGGAAGGUGUUGUGGUUAAUAACCGCAGCAAUUGACGUUACCCGCAGAAGAAGCACCGGCUAACUCCGUGCCAGCAGCCGCGGUAAUACGGAGGGUGCAAGCGUUAAUCGGAAUUACUGGGCGUAAAGCGCACGCAGGCGGUCUGUCAAGUCGGAUGUGAAAUCCCCGGGCUCAACCUGGGAACUGCAUUCGAAACUGGCAGGCUUGAGUCUUGUAGAGGGGGGUAGAAUUCCAGGUGUAGCGGUGAAAUGCGUAGAGAUCUGGAGGAAUACCGGUGGCGAAGGCGGCCCCCUGGACAAAGACUGACGCUCAGGUGCGAAAGCGUGGGGAGCAAACAGGAUUAGAUACCCUGGUAGUCCACGCCGUAAACGAUGUCUACUUGGAGGUUGUGCCCUUGAGGCGUGGCUUCCGGAGCUAACGCGUUAAGUAGACCGCCUGGGGAGUACGGCCGCAAGGUUAAAACUCAAAUGAAUUGACGGGGGCCCGCACAAGCGGUGGAGCAUGUGGUUUAAUUCGAUGCAACGCGAAGAACCUUACCUGGUCUUGACAUCCACAGAAGAAUCCAGAGAUGGAUUUGUGCCUUCGGGAACUGUGAGACAGGUGCUGCAUGGCUGUCGUCAGCUCGUGUUGUGAAAUGUUGGGUUAAGUCCCGCAACGAGCGCAACCCUUAUCCUUUGUUGCCAGCGGUUAGGCCGGGAACUCAAAGGAGACUGCCAGUGAUAAACUGGAGGAAGGUGGGGAUGACGUCAAGUCAUCAUGGCCCUUACGACCAGGGCUACACACGUGCUACAAUGGCGCAUACAAAGAGAAGCGACCUCGCGAGAGCAAGCGGACCUCAUAAAGUGCGUCGUAGUCCGGAUUGGAGUCUGCAACUCGACUCCAUGAAGUCGGAAUCGCUAGUAAUCGUGGAUCAGAAUGCCACGGUGAAUACGUUCCCGGGCCUUGUACACACCGCCCGUCACACCAUGGGAGUGGGUUGCAAAAGAAGUAGGUAGCUUAACCUUCGGGAGGGCGCUUACCACUUUGUGAUUCAUGACUGGGGUGAAGUCGUAACAAGGUAACCGUAGGGGAACCUGCGGUUGGAUCACCUCCUUACCUUAAAGAAGC
rnacentral:rRNA from 1 species